rnacentral:rRNA from 1 species
UACCAGCACCCCGAGUGGUCGGGACGAUUAUUGGGCCUAAAGCAUCCGUAGCCGGUUCUACAAGUCUUCCGUUAAAUCCACCUGCUUAACAGAUGGGCUGCGGAGGAUACUAUGGAGCUAGGAGGCGGGAGAGGCAAGCGGUACUUAGUGGGUAGGGGUAAAAUCCGUUGAUCCAUUGAAGACCACCAGUGGCGAAGGCGGCUUGCCAGAACGCACUCGACGGUGAGGGAUGA